GAUGAACGCUGGCGGCGUGCCUAAUACAUGCAAGUCGAGCGAACAGACGAGGAGCUUGCUCCUCUGACGUUAGCGGCGGACGGGUGAGUAACACGUGGAUAACCUACCUAUAAGACUGGGAUAACUUCGGGAAACCGGAGCUAAUACCGGAUAAUAUAUUGAACCGCAUGGUUCAAUAGUGAAAGACGGUUUUGCUGUCACUUAUAGAUGGAUCCGCGCCGCAUUAGCUAGUUGGUAAGGUAACGGCUUACCAAGGCGACGAUGCGUAGCCGACCUGAGAGGGUGUUCGGCCACACUGGAACUGAGACACGGUCCAGACUCCUACGGGAGGCAGCAGUAGGGAAUCUUCCGCAAUGGGCGAAAGCCUGACGGAGCAACGCCGCGUGAGUGAUGAAGGUCUUCGGAUCGUAAAACUCUGUUAUUAGGGAAGAACAAAUGUGUAAGUAACUAUGCACGUCUUGACGGUACCUAAUCAGAAAGCCACGGCUAACUACGUG
rnacentral:rRNA from 1 species